rnacentral:rRNA from 1 species
UACGUAGGUGGCAAGCGUUGUCCGGAUUUACUGGGCGUAAAGAGCGCGCAGGCGGUCGUUCAAGUCGCGUGUGAAAGCCCCCGGCUCAACUGGGGAGGGUCACGCGAUACUGAUCGACUCGAAGGCAGGAGAGGGAAGUGGAAUUCCCGGUGUAGUGGUGAAAUGCGUAGAUAUCGGGGAGGAACACCAGUGGCGAAGGCGACUUCCUGGCCUGUUCUUGACGCUGAGGCGCGAAAGCUAGGGGAGCAAACGGG